UACGGAGGGUGCAAACGUUGCUCGGAAUUACUGGGCGUAAAGCGUACGUAGGCGGUCGGCUAUGUCGGAUGUGAAAGCCUCGGGCUUAACCCGAGAAGGGCAUCCGAAACUGGCCGGCUUGAGUACGGAAGAGGGACUCGGAAUUCCCGGUGUAGAGGUGAAAUUCGUAGAUAUCGGGAGGAACACCAGUGGCGAAGGCGGAGACCUGGGCCGAUACUGACGCUGAGGUGCGAAAGCGUGGGGAGCAAACAGG
rnacentral:rRNA from 1 species